AAAAUUUUGCAUAUCAAAAAGCGGAGGAAAAGAAACCAACAGGGAUUGCCCUAGUAACGGCGAGUGAAGCGGCAACAGCUCAAAUUUGAAAGCUGGCCUUCGGGUCCGCAUUGUAAUUUGUAGAGGAUGCUUUGGGUGAAACGCCAGUCUAAGUUCCUUGGAACAGGACGUCAUAGAGGGUGAGAAUCCCGUAUGUGACUGGAAAUGUUAACCUAUGUAAAGCUCCUUCGACGAGUCGAGUUGUUUGGGAAUGCAGCUCUAAAUGGGAGGUAAAUUUCUUCUAAAGCUAAAUAUUGGCGAGAGACCGAUAGCGCACAAGUAGAGUGAUCGAAAGAUGAAAAGCACUUUGGAAAGAGAGUUAAAAAGCACGUGAAAUUGUUGAAAGGGAAGCGCUUGCAAUCAGACUUGUUUAAACUGUUCGGCCGGUCUUCUGACCGGUUUACUCAGUUUGGACAGGCCAGCAUCAGUUUCGGCGGCCGGAUAAAGGCUCUGGGAAUGUGGCCUUCACUUCGGUGAAGGUGUUAUAGCCCAGGGUGUAAUACGGCCAGCCGGGACUGAGGUCCGCGCUCGGCUAGGAUGCUGCGUAAGCCUCGAG
rnacentral:rRNA from 1 species